UGGGGAAUUUUGGGCAAUGGGGGAAACCCUGACCCAGCAACGCCGCGUGAAGGAUGAAGUAUUUCGGUAUGUAAACUUCGAAAGAAUAGGAAGAAUAAAUGACGGUACUAUUUAUAAGGUCCGGCUAACUACGUGCCAGCAGCCGCGGUAAUACGUAGGGACCAAGCGUUGUUCGGAUUUACUGGGCGUAAAGGGCGCGUAGGCGGCAUGACAAGUCACUUGUGAAAUCUCUGGGCUUAACCCAGAACGGCCAAGUGAUACUGUCGCGCUAGAGUGCAGAAGGGGCAAUCGGAAUUCUUGGUGUAGCGGUGAAAUGCGUAGAUAUCAAGAGGAACACCUGAGGUGAAGACGGGUUGCUGGGCUGACACUGACGCUGAGGCGCGAAAGCCAGGGGAGCAAACGGGAUUAGAUACCCACGUAGUCCCUGAGCGGGCUGGCAAGGCGCAU
rnacentral:rRNA from 1 species